rnacentral:tRNA from 1 species
GGGGUAUUAGUUCAGUUGGAAGAAUGCUUGCUUCGCAAGCAAGAGGUCAGCGGUUCGACUCCGCUAUACUCCACCA